rnacentral:rRNA from 1 species
CCUACGGGAGGCAGCAGUGAGGAAUAUUGGUCAAUGGUCGGGAGACUGAACCAGCCAAGCCGCGUGAGGGAGGAAGGUACAGAGUAUCGUAAACCUCUUUUGUCAGGGAACAAAGACUGGGACGCGUCCCCGGAUGAGUGUACCUGAAGAAAAAGCAUCGGCUAACUCCGUGCCAGCAGCCGCGGUAAUACGGGGGAUGCGAGCGUUAUCCGGAUUUAUUGGGUUUAAGGGGUGCGCAGGCGGUCUGUUAAGUCAGCGGUAAAGGCCCGGGGCUCAACCCCGGCCCGCCGUUGAAACUGGCAGUCUCGAGUUGGAGAGAAGUAUGCGGAAUGCGCGGUGUAGCGGUGAAAUGCAUAGAUAUCGCGCAGAACUCCGAUUGCGAAGGCAGCAUGCCGGCUCCACACUGACGCUGAGGCACGAAAGCGUGGGUAUCGAACAGGAUUAGAUACCCGUGUAGUC